rnacentral:rRNA from 1 species
UGGGGAAUAUUGCACAAUGGGCGCAAGCCUGAUGCAGCCAUGCCGCGUGUAUGAAGAAGGCCUUCGGGUUGUAAAGUACUUUCAGUUGGGAGGAAGGUGGUAAGGUUAAUAACCUUAUCAAUUGACGUUACCGACAGAAGAAGCACCGGCUAACUCCGUGCUAGCAGCCGCGGUAAUACGGAGGGUGCAAGCGUUAAUCGGAAUUACUGGGCGUAAAGCGCACGCAGGCGGUUGAUUGAGUCAGAUGUUAAAUCCCCGGGCUUAACCCGGGAAUUGCAUCUGAUACUGGUCAGCUAGAGGCUUGUAGAGGGGGGUAGAAUUCCAUGUGUAGCGGUGAAAUGCGUAGAGAUGUGGAGGAAUACCGGUGGCGAAGGCGGCCCCCUGAACAAAGACUGACGCUCAGGUGCGAAAGCGUGGGGAGCAAACAGG